rnacentral:lncRNA from 1 species
UUGCUAAUGGAAUCAAACAUGAUUGAAAUGUUUUAACAUAUGAACAACAAGACAUUACAGCAAACAUGUUUAUUUAGGAGGGGGCACAUUAACAAUCAAACUCACCAACCACAUUACAAUGGACCCAAUGACCUUAAAAACAAUGAAAAAUACCAAGAAACCAAACAAAAUAGUAAGGAAAGGAGGUCCCUUUGAAGCAUUGCUAGUUUCCUUUACAUCUGAUCCUUUGUUAGAUGCUUUUCCACCACUAGAGUUGGAGUUUGUAGCACAAACAGUCAAUAUCUUAUGAU